AAAACAGCGGCGUCCAUUACAACAAUUCAGAGUAUCCAGGCAGACUUAAGUUACAUGCAAAACCUCAAAUAUAUUUAUGAAUCUCAAUUAUGAUAUCACAUGUGAAUUAGGAACAUAAAGUGAUAAUAGUAACGCAAACCUGUUUGCACUCGAGUCGCAACCUUGAAUUGGCCGAUCGGAUAGACUUGAGCGGAGGUGACCUUGCUGUAAAACACAAUGCCUAAGCUGCUGGAAAAGAAGAAAAAAAUGCAAAGGCGAAAACGGC
rnacentral:lncRNA from 1 species